rnacentral:rRNA from 1 species
AGAGUUUGAUCCUGGCUCAGGAUGAACGCUGGCGGCGUGCUUAACACAUGCAAGUCGAACGAAGCACAUAAGGACGAGUCUUCGGAUGAAGCCGUAUGUGACUGAGUGGCGGACGGGUGAGUAACGCGUGGGUAACCUGCCUCACACAGGGGGAUAACAGUUGGAAACGACCGCUAAUACCGCAUAACCCGCUAGGGGCGCAUGCUCCGGACGGAAAAGAUUAAUCGGUGUGAGAUGGACCCGCGUCUGAUUAGCCAGUUGGCAGGGUAACGGCCUACCAAAGCGACGAUCAGUAGCCGGCCUGAGAGGGUGAACGGCCACAUUGGGACUGAGACACGGCCCAAACUCCUACGGGAGGCAGCAGUGGGGAAUAUUGCACAAUGGGGGGAACCCUGAUGCAGCGACGCCGCGUGAGUGAAGAAGUAUUUCGGUAUGUAAAGCUCUAUCAGCAGGGAAGAAAAUGACGGUACCUGACUAAGAAGCCCCGGCUAACUACGUGCCA